rnacentral:rRNA from 1 species
UCCGUNGGUGAACCAGCGGAGGGAUCAUU